ensembl:snRNA U4 U4 spliceosomal RNA
AGCUUUGCGCAGCGGCAGUAUCGUAGCCGAUGAGGUUUGUCCAAGGCACAAUUAUUGCUAAUUGAAAAACUACGUAUACAUUUUA